CUCCACUAGGAGAGAAGAAGAAGGAGAGGUGAAGGGUGACUUAACCUAAUUCAUCAAUUGAGUCAACAAAAGUACAUGCAGUGCAAGUAUGUACAGACAUUUGCCAUGUGCUGGAAAUGCAGAGUUGAGUUACACAUGGUCUUUGCUUUCUAAGGACCUCAUGGGGAGGACAAGCAGGUGAACAAGUGCUUAUUAAAUAUUAAUCCUGGUGACUGGAAUAAGCAGAUUAAUUCAGAUCCUGCCUGAAGAAGCAGUGACCUCUGCUCCCCGUGUGCCAGCAGAGCUAGGCACAGGCAGAGGCUGGCUUGGCCGAGCCCAGGGUGUGCCCUGUUCUGUCUCUGUCCCUACACACUCAGCAGAUCUGAGAGAAGCUCCCAUGCUUGUCUCACGAGUCUCCAGCCUCCUGAAAUGAGUCCUAUUUCUCCUCAUCUAUCCCACCCAAAUCCCCGAGAAGCAGACCUGCAAGAAGCUUGGCGGUCCCUUGCUGAGUUUGGUAACAAUCAUGAAAAUAUAACUACGACUUCACCAGCUGGACACGUCAGAAUGAAGAUGCCUGAGAAACGCAUCCCUUACACACAUAGGGUCUAGUAAGAGGAGUGAGCUGGUGCUGCGACCCCAAGGCUGAGCAGAAAACAUUCUCAGCAGACGUGAAAAAGGAUGGGUCUGCAUCUGGCAGUGGGACAGGAUCCUGAGUAUGGUUGGCCAAGUCAAGUUACUGAAUGUUUUGUCCAGACUGGUGAGUGGGGACAAAGUCCAGCUAAUUAUUUAUGAGGGUCUGUGCCUGGCCUUAUCCCAGAUAAACAAGGGGCAUUCCAGAGUUUAAUGUAAGUCACAUGGGGAAGGGUGGAUCUUGGCAGUAAGCCUUUUCCUGGGGGACAAAAAGAUAAGGGAGGGGACGGGGGACUUCUUAACCUUGAGGUUUCUAGGAGAGCAGAGCUCAGGGAAAGUGUAACAAUGCCACUAUGAAUUGUUUCAAAUUACUUUUAUUCAAAUGUGUCAUACAAAUUGUUUGAGAUGGUACAUUUAGUAUAGUCUCAUUAUUGCUACAUGAUUAACAUUAAUCAUCCUGCAAAGCAAUUCAGCACGAAAACAGAAGCAACUUAACCAAGCUGUUUUCUCUAAGGACUGGACAUUUAGACAAGGAUUUAAACAUCCUCCUCUUGACAUUUUCUUUUGCUGAAAAUGAUGGUUUUCGGAAAUACACGUUGCAGACUUAUCUGAACUGUGGCAGCUAUGCCUUUGCUUGGAGGCAGGUGAUAUGUUCAUUUUGCCUACACGUGCUCAGUGUUGUCUAGAAGAGCACUGUGCCAGCUCCAGGGCAAGACGGGAGGAGAGAACACAUGCCCUGCCUUCUGGUUGGGCCUUGAUGGUGGAAGGGCGGUGAGAGUGAGCACUGACAAAGCAAAUGGGGCCUCUCUGGCUGCAGAUUGCAAGUUAAACAUCAUUCUCCAGUGCUCUAAAGCAUGAUGUUGAUGCACUGCAAAGCAGCUGUGGAGCCUUGGACAGACAACAUGCCUGGGGAAAGGUCAGUCUUCAAGAAUUUGUCAAAAGGUCAGACCAGCCCAGACCAACUGUGCAUAGGUCAAGGGAAGGGCCAUGUGGGAGGGGGACAAAAGCCAAUCACCUCCCACCCCGAGAGUCCCAUCCCAGGCCAAAGACUGAGAGGCAGAAGUAGCACGAUGGCAGAGCUGAGGCUGGUAAGACUUAUAGGCAAUGGAGGAUGCAGCACCGGGCCACAUUCCCUUAAAGCUUUCUGCACAUUGCCUGCAGAAGCAAGCUGGGCAAAACACCAGGAAAGGAUGAGGCGAAGAGAGCAAAACAAAGGAACAGCUUGAACCUAACUGGCUGUAAUCUGGCUUUGUCACUAAAAGAAUCCCUCAGGCAUCUCAAACUCUCUUUAUAUGUAAGAUAGAAUCCGAAAUGAUGCAUUAGUCCACACACAGCUUGUUUAAGGGCUCACCAUACAUAAGGCCCUCUGAGGAGUCCAGAAGCAGCACGUGUGGCCCUGGCCCCGGGGAGUGAAGGAAGCGGGAGAAAAUGAUGAAAUAUGGAAUGCUUAAUGAAAGCCCCUGGAGGCCAAAAGCCGUCUUCCGUUUCUUCUGUACACACCUCGGGAGGCUGAGUAUUCGAUUAGGCACUUAAUUAGGAAGCUUGUUUUUAAUUCAUCCGCGGCAAAAAAUGCCAUCAGGGUAGACAUUCUGCAAGGCUCCCCAUUGGCUGCCUCUGCGAUCCUGCUGCUUCUCUGCAUAGCACAUCUCGCCUCUUAGCACCCACAAGCUUGGGGAGGGAGAACCCUGGUGCCCUGGCUCACAGUGGCACUUUACCAAAAGGCAUCGGCAGGGAAGCUGGCUGCCCGGUCACCCAGCAUAGCUGCCAAUUACUGGCAAGAGGAAAUCCGAAUGGCACGCGUCCCAGUCUGCACGGCCAUGAGUCUGUACGGGCUGCACUGCCAGUGGCUGCAGAGACAAGCGAGAGGACAGAGACACUCUGCACACUCCUGAGAAAGGGGUGGGGACACGCUUUAUUCCAGUCGCUUUCAGGCUGAUGGGAGGAACAUCAGCUACAGUCCAACAAAACAACACGCUCAUCGUGGUCCCUCGUCCAGGCUUAUUGAGCACCAGGGCAGAGAGCCGCCCGGAAGCCUUCUGGUGGAAUUUUGCUCCUGCUCUCCUCUGUCUGCCCAGGAAGCUUAUUCCAGAGUGUCAGCGACGCAACAGCACACCUCUGUCCAUGUCAUAGAUGGUCUGUCCACGUAUCAGGCCCAGAAACACAGUGGGGCCCAGGGAGGCCAUGAAUUAGUGAAUUCAGCAACUAAACACCUGCUGCCCUUAGACCAGGAGCCCACCAUCAUAGGGCGAGUGGGUUUCAAUCAAAUAUCCUUGCUUUUCAGGCACAGCUUAUGUCUGGAUAGCACACAGCAAAUGCUUUCCAUCAGCUUGUGCAGCUGGGGAAGCUGAUGGCCCUUGACUCUCGGCAGUCUCCUUCACCAGCACUCCUGCCCCAAGGCCAGCUGGCUUCCCUCCCACAGCCAGGUCCUGAGCAUGUGCCUUUCACCUUCACACCUGGCCACCGUGUCUCUGCUUUUGGCUGUCUACCAGCUGCUCCCUGGCCACAGAUGCUUCCCUGUAACCCAUAUCCCCCCCAGGAAACCUCUCACUGAUUUCCUACACUGCAGAGUCCAUGAAGUAGUGUGAGAAAGACUGAAGGUCAGUUCGGGCAGUGCCCGCAGCUGGCCCAGACACACUGCAGCAACACCUGCCCCUCGAUUUAGCGUCCUUAGCCCCAAAGACAGGCAGGAAACAGAGGCAAAGACAAUCAACAACAAUGACUAAGAUCUGGGGUGUCAGCCCCUCUGCACCCUCAGCCUGGCUCUGUAAGACCUGGUGGGGCCAGCGGAGGGGGAUGGUGGUCUUUUAAAAGUUGAUAAAUUCAUUAAAAUCAGGUGGGAAAAGAGCUGCUAAAUUUAAAGCAAGCAAAAGCAGGAUGGUGGGAACUUGACAUUGACAAUGAGGGCAGGCAGGGAUGGAGAAAGCCAGAGGCUGGUCUGGAUGGGGGAACCGUGGGCACGAGGUGGAGAAAUGGAAGGAAAACCAGGGGUCAGGCCAGCAGGGCUGGUGAUGGGGCAAGAAGCAGAGAAAAAGGAUUUGCUCUUCACAAGUUGUGCUGUGGUUUUUGCAUUGGCCCUUUGGGUUUCUCUGUCAAAAUGCCAGUAAAAGAUUUACAUUCCAUAUUCAAUUAUUCUCAAUUGCCGGAUGAAUUUUAUUUGAAUGUUGCUCUGUUGAGACAGGAUUACCCGGACACCAUGUAUAUGCAGCUGACACAUCCAAACACAGACCCUCUGACCUCCUGCUGCUGGACUUAUUAUUGAUUAGAUAACAUUAAAACUGUUCCUUGCCAUUGAUUAGGUAAUGUCAACAAAAAAUAAAGUUCUACCCCUCUCCA